CUCUUAUCCAGAGUGGCGGAGGGACAGACCCUAUGAAGCCCAGCAACCUUCAAGUUUUACUUGAAAAGGUGCUAAUUUCUGCAGAAUUGUUUCUGGAAGAUAAGGG
rnacentral:ncRNA from 2 species